rnacentral:rRNA from 1 species
UACAGAGGGUGCAAGCGUUAAUCGGAAUUACUGGGCGUAAAGGGCUCGUAGGUGGCCAACUAAGUCAGACGUGAAAUCCCUCGGCUUAACCGGGGAACUGCGUCUGAUACUGGAUGGCUUGAGAUUGGGAGAGGGAUGCGGAAUUCCAGGUGUAGCGGUGAAAUGCGUAGAUAUCGAGAGGAACACCUGCGGCGAAGGCGGCGUUCUGGACUGUAUCUGACACUGAGGAACGAAAGCCAGGGGAGCAAACGGG